rnacentral:misc_RNA from 1 species
GGGAAAUCCAACAAAUUACGUAAUGAAGAAUUCAUCUUACUUCACUUUCGAACGCCAUUCACUGCUAAUGAUGCUGCAUACUUCCUUUUACGUUUAGAGGUACAAGAUGCUUUGCAUGGUGAUGGUGAAUACUGUAGGCGGUAACUGAUGAGUGAUGGACCAAAAAUACUGAAUUUCCCUGACUUGCUAAAAGCAGUUUCAGCAUCGGCACGCCUUUUGAAAACAACUUUUAG